rnacentral:rRNA from 1 species
UACGUAGGGGGCAAGCGUUGUCCGGAUUUAUUGGGCGUAAAGAGCGUGUAGGCGGCUUUACAGGUCCGUUGUGAAAACUCGAGGCUCAACCUCGAGACGCCGGUGGAAACCGUAAAGCUAGAGUCCGGAAGAGGAGAGUGGAAUUCCUGGUGUAGCGGUGAAAUGCGCAGAUAUCAGGAAGAACACCCGUGGCGAAGGCGGCUCUCUGGGACGGUACUGACGCUGAGAAGCGAAAGCAUGGGGAGCGAACAGG